rnacentral:rRNA from 1 species
UACGUAGGGGGCAAGCGUUGUUCGGAAUUACUGGGCGUAAAGGGCGCGUAGGCGGCACGGCAAGUCAGGAGUGAAAGCCCGGGGCUCAACCCCGGAAUGUCUUUUGAAACUGCCGAGCUAGAGUGCGGAAGAGGCAACUGGAAUUCCCAGUGUAGCGGUGAAAUGCGUAGAUAUUGGGAAGAACACCUGAGGCGAAGGCGGGUUGCUGGGCCGACACUGACACUGAGGCGCGAAAGCCAGGGGAGCGAACGGG